ACGGAAUCGAUGCACACUGCACCACAGUAAAUAAAGACUGUUAAAUCUGUCUCGUAUUUUUUUAACUUCCACGGACAGAAAGCCAGUUAAGUGUAUUGCAUAACAGUCUCACUUUCGGGGUGUCAUUUUCACUUUUGUUUAUUACUUGUUUGCUGAUUUCUCAGAAAUGGUGUGCAUUCUCUUGAGUCGAACAAGAUUAAUACAAGAAUUUACUGGGUUGUUUUUUUUGUUAUUAUCAUUUGCAUUUAGCCAUUUUACAAAUGCGAAAGGUUGGUAAACGGAUGUCUAUUUUUAGGAUUCUCUGCACAGUGUGAAAACAAAAUACAGAGAUGCACACGUCUUGUGAAUCUACAGAAACUUUUAUAACGGAUAUGAGUGAGGAUGAAAAGGCAUGGUUGGAUCAAAUCAAG